rfam:Gossypium raimondii chromosome 5, whole genome shotgun sequence.
AAUUCAUGGUGUGGGCACUUUUAAAUCAACAUUUUGAAGUGCUCCUACAUCUCAUAGAAACUUUCCCCUUCCAUUUGUCUAAAUAAGAAAAUCUCUCUUCUUAGUU